UAAUACGUAGGAGGCGAGCGUUAUCCGGAAUCAUUGGGCGUAAAGGGCGUGUAGGCGGCUCCUUAAGUUGGUGGUGAAAUCUCCCGGCUCAACCGGGAGGGGUCGGCCAAAACUGAGGGGCUUGAGGGCAGCAGAGGGAGGUGGAAUUCCCGGUGUAACGGUGAAAUGUGUAGAUAUCGGGAGGAACACCAGUGGCGAAGGCGGCCUCCUGGGCUGUCCCUGACGCUGAGGCGCGAAAGCGUGGGGAGCAAAGCGGAUUAGAUACCCGCGUAGUCCACGCCGUAAACGGUGGACACUAGGUAUAGGGGGUAUCGACCCCCUCUGUGCCGAAGCUAACGCUCUAAGUGUCCCGCCUGGGGACUACGGCCGCAAGGCUA
rnacentral:rRNA from 1 species